rnacentral:rRNA from 1 species
GGGCGCAAGCCUGAUGCAGCCAUGCCGCGUGUAUGAAGAAGGCCUUCGGGUUGUAAAGUACUUUCAGCAGUGAGGAAGGUGGAUAUGUUAAUAGCAUAUUCAUUUGACGUUAGCUGCAGAAGAAGCACCGGCUAACUCCGUGCCAGCAGCCGCGGUAAUACGGAGGGUGCGAGCGUUAAUCGGAAUUACUGGGCGUAAAGCGCAUGCAGGUGGUUUGUUAAGUCAGAUGUGAAAGCCCGGGGCUCAACCUCGGAAUUGCAUUUGAAACUGGCAAACUAGAGUACUGUAGAGGGGGUAGAAUUUCAGGUGUAGCGGUGAAAUGCGUAGAGAUCUGAAGGAAUACCGGUGGCGAAGGCGGCCCCCUGGACAGAUACUGACACUCAGAUGCGAAAGCGUGGGGAGCAAACAGGAUUAGAUACCCCGGUAG